AGGACAGCCUUAUUACUCCUCCACAUCUCCUUUUCAGCCAAAAGCUGUAACUCUGCUUGCUGUCUGCUUCAUAGGAGUCUCUCUCACAAUGAAGUUCCUGCUGCUGUCCUGCAUUCUGAGCAUGGUCCUUGCUGUCACCAAUGCACAGCAGCUUGACAGCAAUGAAAGCUCCGGUUCAGACAGUUCAGAACAGUACCCACAAGAAAGGACCAUUUUCUUUCCUUUGCAUUCCAUUCUUCGCCUCCUCCAGAAACGCCCCAAGCAUGCUUAGCCAUCUGU